AUUGAAAGAGUGCUUCCCCAAACCCUUAACUGGUUGUAACAGUU
rnacentral:misc_RNA from 1 species